rnacentral:rRNA from 1 species
AUUGAACGCUGGCGGCAGGCCUAACACAUGCAAGUCGAGCGGUGCGGGGGACGGGCGGGUGAUGCAUUGGUAUCUGCCUGGUUGUGGGGGCGAACGUCCGGACACGGGCGAUCAUCCCCUAUACUAUCAGGUGAGUCUAGGUCGGAAUAGCUAGGUGGUGGGGUAAAGGCCUACCAAGUCGACGAUCCGAAACUGGUCUGAGAGGAUGAUCAGUCACACUGGAACUGAGACACGGUCCAGACGCCUACGGGAGGCAGCAGUGGGGAAUAUUGGACAAUGGGCGAAAGCCUGAUGCAGCCAUGCCGCGUGUGUGAAGAAGGUCUUCGGAUUGUAAAGCACUUUAAGUUGGGAGGCGUUACCAACAGAAUAAGCACCGGCUAACUUCGUGCCAGCAGCCGCGGUAAUAC